AUACUCUGGUUUCCCUUCAGAUCAUAUAAAUCUUUCAUCUUUUACUAAAGAAUACCGUGGAGAGGAACAACUCUUGAGUUUUCACUCAAUUUUUUUGAGGCCUUGUGUUCAUGGGGCU